rnacentral:lncRNA from 1 species
GUUUGUAUCAUGAGUGGGUAUUGAAUUUUAUCAGUUGAAUUGUUAUGAUAAUCAUGAUUUUCCUGGUUAAUUUUUUUGUCUUGGUAAAUUAUGUUAGUUGGUUUUUAAAUGUUAAAUCAAACUUGCAAUUCUGGAAUAAAUCCAACUUGGUCUUGAUAAGCCUGUCUUUUGAUGUAUCACUAGAUCCAGUUUCCUAUUUUUUUUUUCAGUUUUUUGCAUCUAAAUUCAUGAGAAAGGUUGGCUUGUUAUUGUCCUUUCUAUAAUCUCCUGUAGAAUUUUGUUGUUGUUGUUUUUUGUAGAUGGACACUAUAUCUUUAUUCUGUUUAUUUUAUUUUUAUGUGGUGCUGAGGAUCGAACCCAGUGCUUCACAUAGCCUAGGCAAGCGCUCUACCACUGAGCCGCAACCCCAGCCCUCCUUGUAGAAUUUUGAUAUCAGGAUUACAUUAGCCUUAUUAAAAAGUUAGCAAGGGCUGGAGUUGUGGCUCAGCAAUAGAGCAUUUGACUAGCAUACGUGAGGCACUGGGUUUGAUCCCCAGCAUCACACAUGUACAAAAAUAUUUGACGUAUAUUGUCUCCAAAAGAGUUUAUAAAAGAUUGGUAUUAUUUUUUCCUUAGUAUUUGAAUUCACAGGUAUAACCAUUUGAACUUAAGUUUUUCUAUGUGGGAAAUUUUUCAAUAACAUUUAGAAAAAUGUAUUUUUUCUUGUGUCAGUUGUGGUGAUUUAUGAUUUUGAAAGAAUUUGUCUUGCUUGUUGAGUACAGUGUUCUAAGUAUGUCAAUUAGCUCAAGAUUGUUAAUUAUUUGUUUAAUUGUUCUAUAUCUCUAUUGAUUUUUUUUCCUGCCUGCCUGUUUCAUCAGUUACUAAGGAAUGAGUAUUAUAACUCCUACUAUAAGUAUAGAUUUGUCCAUUUUUUAAUUCUGUUUUUUGUUUAUGUAUUUUGAGCUUAUAUGUAUGCUAAUUUAAGAUUGUUUAAACUUCCUGAAGAAUUUAAUGGUGUAUUAUUGUGAUAUGGCCCUGUGUAUACCUGGUAAUACAUUGUACCUUGAAGUUUAUCUUCUGUGAUAUUAAAAUAGCAAAAACAAUUUAUGUUAGUUAGCAUUUGUGCUGCAAAUCUUUUUCCAUUUUUUCACUUUCAUAUUUCUGAUGUCUUUAUAUUGAUGGUGUCUCUUAUAAAUAGGAUAUAAAUAUAUUUUGUUUCAAUGACCAGUCUGA